CGCGUGGUAAUCCAAAUGGAAGAGGUGCCAGACCGAGAAUCUGGUUGUUGUGGGUUCGAAUCCCACCCACGCGA
rnacentral:tRNA from 1 species